AUUGAACGCUGGCGGCAGGCCUAACACAUGCAAGUCGAGCGGUAGAGAGAAGCUUGCUUCUCUUGAGAGCGGCGGACGGGUGAGUAAUGCCUAGGAAUCUGCCUGAUAGUGGGGGAUAACGUCCGGAAACGGACGCUAAUACCGCAUACGUCCUACGGGAGAAAGUGGGGGCUCUUCGGACCUUACGCUAUCAGAUGAGCCUAGGUCGGAUUAGCUAGUUGGUGGGGUAAAGGCUUACCAAGGCGACGAUCCGUAACUGGUCUGAGAGGAUGAUCAGUCACACUGGAACUGAGACACGGUCCAGACUCCUACGGGAGGCAGCAGUGGGGAAUAUUGGACAAUGGGCGAAAGCCUGAUCCAGCCAUGCCGCGUGUGUGAAGAAGGUCUUCGGAUUGUAAAGCACUUUAAGUUGGGAGGAAGGGUCGUUACCUAAUACGUGGCGAUUUUGACGUUACCGACAGAAUAAGCACCGGCUAACUCUGUGCCAGCAGCCGCCGUAAUAC
rnacentral:rRNA from 1 species